rnacentral:rRNA from 1 species
AUGAACGCUGGCGGCGUGCCUAAUACAUGCAAGUCGAGCGAACAGAUGAGGAGCUUGCUCCUCUGACGUUAGCGGCGGCCGGGUGAGUAACACGUGGAUAACCUACCUAUAAGACUGGGAUAACUUCGGGAAACCGGAGCUAAUACCGGAUAAUAUAUUGAACCGCAUGGUUCAAUAGUGAAAGACGGUUUUGCUGUCACUUAUAGAUGGAUCCGCGCCGCAUUAGCUAGUUGGUAAGGUAACGGCUUACCAAGGCAACGAUUCGUAGCCGACCUGAGAGGGUGAUCGGCCACACUGGAACUGAGACACGGUCCAGACUCCUACGGGAGGCAGCAGUAGGGAAUCUUCCGCAAUGGGCGAAAGCCUGACGGAGCAACGCCGCGUGAGUGGUGAAGGUCUUCGGAUCGUAAAACUCUGUUAUUAGGGAAGAACAAAUGUGUAAGUAACUAUGCACGUCUUGACGGUACCUAAUCAGAAAGCCACGGCUAACUACGUG